rnacentral:rRNA from 1 species
UACGGAGGGUGCGAGCGUUAAUCGGAAUUACUGGGCGUAAAGGGCACGCAGGCGGGUUGUUAAGUGAGAUGUGAAAUCCCCGGGCUCAACCUGGGAACUGCAUCUGAGACUGGGAAGCUUGAGUCUUGUAGAGAGGGGUAGAAUUCCACGUGUAGCGGUGAAAUGCGUAGAGAUCUGGAGGAAUACCGGUGGCGAAGGCAGCCCCCUGG